rnacentral:rRNA from 1 species
AACGAACGCUGGCGGCAUGCCUAACACAUGCAAGUCGAACGAGACCUUCGGGUCUAGUGGCGCACGGGUGCGUAACGCGUGGGAACCUGCCCUUAGGUUCGGAAUAACUCCCCGAAAGGGGUGCUAAUACCGGAUAAUGUCUUCGGACCAAAGAUUUAUCGCCUUUGGAUGGGCCCGCGUUGGAUUAGCUAGUUGGUAGGGUAAAAGCCUACCAAGGCGACGAUCCAUAGCUGGUCUGAGAGGAUGAUCAGCCACACUGGGACUGAGACACGGCCCAGACUCCUACGGGAGGCAGCAGUGGGGAAUAAUGGACAAUGGGCGAAAGCAUGAUCCAGCAAUGCCGCGUGAGUGAUGAAGGCCUUAGGGUUGUAAAGCUCUUUUACCCGGGAUGAUAAUGACAGUACCGGGAGAAUAAGCUCCGGCUAACUCCGUG